rnacentral:rRNA from 1 species
ACAUGCAAGUCGAGGGGCAUCACGAGGUAGCAAUACUUUNGGUGGCGACCGGCGUACGGGUGCGUAACACGUAUGCAACCUUCCUGUAAGUGUGGGAUAGCCUCCUGAAAGGGAGAUUAAUACCUCAUGAUAUGUAUUUGCUGCAUGGCAUUUACAUUAAACAUUUAUGGCUUACAGAUGGGCAUGCGUUCCAUUAGGCAGUUGGUGUGGUAACGGCUCACCAAACCUACGAUGGAUAGGGGUUCUGAGAGGAAGGUCCCCCACACUGGAACUGAGACACGGUCCAGACUCCUACGGGAGGCAGCAGUGAGGAAUAUUGGUCAAUGGGCGCGAGCCUGAACCAGCCACGUCGCGUGAAGGAUGACGGCCUUAUGGGUUGUAAACUUCUUUUACAGGGGAAUAAAGUGAGUCACGUGUGAUUUUUUGCAUGUACCCUGUGAAUAAGCAUCGGCUAACUCCGUGCCAGCAGCCGCGGUAAUACGGAGGAUGCGAGCGUUAUCCGGAUUUAUUGGGUUUAAAGGGUGCGUAGGCGGGAUAUUAAGUCAGCGGUGAAAGUUUUCGGCUUAACCUUAAAAUUGCCGUUGAAACUGUUAUUCUUGAGUGCAGUAGAGGUAGGCGGAAUUCGUUGUGUAGCGGUGAAAUGCGUAGAUAUAACGAGGAACUCCGAUUGCGUAGGCAGCUUACUAUAUUGCUACUGACGCAGAGGCACGAAAGUGUGGGUAUCAAACAGGAUUAGAUACCCUGGUAGUCCACACAGUAAACGAUGAAUACUAGCUGUUUGCGAUAUAUUGUAAGCGGCCGAGCGAAAGCAUUAAGUAUUCCACCUGGGGAGUACGUC